AAUUAAUUAAGAUUGAUUCUGUCUUAAAUUUAUUUAUUUUUAAUUAGCUGUUUUAUUUUAGAUAAUAUUAAAUAUAAGUUUUUGCGUGAUUUAAUUAUUUAUCUAAAUGAUUGUAAUUAUAUUUUGGUUGUAGUUUUUAAUUUUUUGUAUUGCAUAAGUGUAGAUCUUAGUUAAUUUUUAAGAGUUGUUAAAUGUUGUGCCAGCAAACGCGGUUACACAAUUGACUCGAGUUAAUUUUUUUGGUUAUGUAUUUAUUUU
rnacentral:rRNA from 1 species